AGUGGGGAAUUUUGGACAAUGGGCGAAACCCUGAUCCAGCAAUGCCGCGUGUGUGAAGAAGGCCUUCGGGUUGUAAAGCACUUUUGUCCGGAAAGAAAUCCUUGGCUCUAAUACAGUCGGGGGAUGACGGUACCGGAAGAAUAAGCACCGGCUAACUACGUGCCAGCAGCCGCGGUAAUACGUAGGGUGCGAGCGUUAAUCGGAAUUACUGGGCGUAAAGCGUGCGCAGGCGGUUUGUUAAGACCGAUGUGAAAUCCCCGGGCUCAACCUGGGAACUGCAUUGGUGACUGGCAGGCUAGAGUAUGGCAGAGGGGGGUAGAAUUCCACGUGUAGCAGUGAAAUGCGUAGAGAUGUGGAGGAAUACCGAUGGCGAAGGCAGCCCCCUGGGCCAAUACUGACGCUCAUGCACGAAAGCGUGGGGAGCAAACAGGAUUAGAUACCCUGGUAGUCCACGCCCUAAACGAUGUCAACUAGUUGUUGGGGAUUCAUUUCCUUAGUAACGUAGCUAACGCGUGAAGUUGACCGCCUGGGGAGUACGGUCGCAAGAUUAAAACUCA
rnacentral:rRNA from 1 species